rnacentral:lncRNA from 1 species
UCUGUCACUUCAACAGACAUUUCUCUUCCCUCUUUCUAAAAACACAGACCUUCAAAAUUCAAAAGACCUUCAAAAAACACAAGCUUCAACCCCAAAACCCUAAUCCACCACCAUAUUCAUCUCCUCUAAUCCCCCCUCCUACCUAAUCUGUAGCCGCACAUCCUCCGACACCAUCGAUUUCAACUCAAGGCGGAGACACGGCGGCUUGUGGCAGGUCGCCCACUGUCUUCACCAUCUUCAUAGAUGGAAAACUCAAAUCUUCAUCAUCUUCACGGCAGGCCCCCCGUCGUUUCUCCGGCAGAAGCGCCCCCUCGUUUCUCCGGCGACCCAAACGCUCACGGAGUUGAUGAACGAUCUUGAUGUUGGUGGCGGUGACCGAUGGGUGAAGGGGUGGGGGUGGGUGAAGGGGGUGUGAACCGGUGAAUGAUGGAUGAAUAACGGUGGUUCGUUGCAAGGAAUACCCACAUCAGGUUGGUGUUUUAUUGGCUGUUGUUUUCGGUUACUCAAUUGGUUGU